rnacentral:rRNA from 1 species
UACGAAGGGGGCUAGCGUUGUUCGGAUUUACUGGGCGUAAAGCGCGUGUAGGCGGAUUUGUAAGUUGGGGGUGAAAUCCCGAGGCUCAACCUCGGAACUGCCUCCAAAACUACAAGUCUGGACUCAAGCAGAGGCAAGUGGAAUUGCGAGUGUAGAGGUGAAAUUCGUAGAUAUUCGGAAGAACACCAGUGGCGAAGGCGACUCACUGGACACAUAUUGACGCUGAGGUGCGAAAGCGUGGGGAGCAAACAGG